rnacentral:rRNA from 1 species
UACGAUAGGCCCAAACGUUAUUCGGAAUUACUGGGCUUAAAGAGUUCGUAGGCGGCAUUGCAAGUAGGGUGUGAAAGCCCUCGGCUCAACCGAGGAAUUGCGCUCUAAACUGCAGUGCUUGAGGAACCUAGAGGUGAGCAGAACAGAUGGUGGAGCGGUGAAAUGCGUUGAUAUCAUCUGGAAUACCGGAGGCGAAGGCGGCUCACUGGGAGUUUUCUGACGCUGAGGAACGAAAGCCAGGGUAGCGAACGGG